rnacentral:misc_RNA from 1 species
CUAAGGAUACUUCUUUUAGAGAAGACGGAAUCUUGCAUUGGUUGCUUUUGCUUUGUUUAGUUUUGAGAGGUUUACUCUCAAUUGGAUCCUUGAAAACUGGAUAGUGUAUGAAAAGACAACAAAAACCGAGAAACACGAGUUGAAUCAACGAAGUUUGAUUCGAUCAUCAUGUAACAAAUCGACCAGCAAU